AGAACCUGAAACCGUGUACGUACAAGCAGUAGGAGCACCUUCGUGGUGUGACUGCGUACCUUUUGUAUAAUGGGUCAGCGACUUAUAUUCAGUGGCAAGGUUAACCGUAUAGGGGAGCCGUAGCGAAAGCGAGUCUUAACUGGGCGCUCAGUCUCUGGAUAUAGACCCGAAACCGGGUGAUCUAGCCAUGGGCAGGUUGAAGGU
rnacentral:rRNA from 1 species